rnacentral:lncRNA from 10 species
UUAUGGUGCAAUCACAGCUCACUGCAGCCUCAGCUUCCCCGGGCUCAGGUGAUUCUCCCAUCUCAGUCUCCCAAGUAGCUGGGACUACAGGUGCGCACCAUCACAUCCAGCUACUUUUUGUAUUUUUUUAAAGGCAAUGUCCUUCCACGUUGCCCAGGCUGAUCUCAAACUCCUGGACUCAAGCAAUCCUCCCGCCUCAGCUUUCCAAAGUGCUGGAAGUGCUGGGAUUACAGGAGUGAGCCAGGAUCCAGUCUCAGUUGGUUGAAUCCACAGAUGCAGAAUCCGCAGAUAGAGGUGGCUGACUGUCCUUUUAUGAAUUAAUUGCUCAUAUGCCUUGAUAGAUGCAUGAGAAGAAAGGAUACUUUAUAAGGUAUGGACUAACAACACUCUAUGUGGCCUAAAAACCAACCAAAUCAAGUUUCUAUCAAGGCAGAAGAGGCAGGACAGCCAAGGAAUUGAGCAUAAAGGACACUCUACUGUGAGAGCUAGCCUUGAUUUGACAUGUGUCAGGAAACAUACGACCUCAAACAAUCUUCAUACACAAUGAAGAGAUAUAAGAAGAUUUGGUAAUCCAGGAAGUCUCGAAAGUUCUUCAGAAAUGUUUAACCUAUUUCAAAAAUUUUCAUUACUCUGCGCACACUAUUCCUCAUUACAGAAAGUGCUCAAUAAACUUCUGUAUGCUCCUAUUACUA